rnacentral:rRNA from 1 species
AAGUCCGACGAUACAGGGUGAUAGUCCCGUAGUUGACGACGUGUGUUCAGUGAAAUCGAGUAGGGCGGGACACGUGAUAUCCUGUCUGAAUAUGGGGGGACCAUCCUCCAAGGCUAAAUACUACUGACUGACCGAUAGUGAACCAGUACCGUGAGGGAAAGGCGAAAAGAACCCCUGUGAGGGGAGUGAAAUAGAACCUGAAACCGUGUACGUACAAGCAGUAGGAGCACCUUCGUGGUGUGACUGCGUACCUUUUGUAUAAUGGGUCAGCGACUUAUAUUCAGUGGCAAGGUUAACCAUCUAGGGGAGCCGUAGGGAAACCGAGUCUUAACUGGGCGUUCAGUCUCUGGAUAUAGACCCGAAACCAGGUGAUCUAGCCAUGGGCAGGUUGAAGGUUGAGUAACAUCAACUGGAGGACCGAACCGACUAAUGUUGAAAAAUUAGCGGAUGACUUGUGGCUAGGGGUGAAAGGCCAAUCAAACCUGGAGAUAGCUGGUUCUCCCCGAAAGCUAUUUAGGUAGCGCCUCGGACGAAUACUACUGGGGGUAGAGCACUGUUAAGGCUAGGGGGUCAUCCCGACUUACCAACCCUUUGCAAACUCCGAAUACCAGUAAGUACUAUCCGGGAGACACACGGCGGGUGCUAACGUCCGUCGUGGAGAGGGAAACAACCCAGACCGCCAGCUAAGGUCCCAAAUUACUACUAAGUGGGAAACGAUGUGGGAAGGCUCAGACAGCCAGGAUGUUGGCUUAGAAGCAGCCAUCAUUUAAAGAAAGCGUAAUAGCUCACUGGUCGAGUCGGCCUGCGCGGAAGAUGUAACGGGGCUAAGUA